rnacentral:rRNA from 2 species
UAGCAUAUCAAUAAGCGGAGGAAAAGAAACCAACAGGGAUUGCCUCAGUAACGGCGAGUGAAGCGGCAACAGCUCAAAUUUGAAAUCUGGCCCUAGGCCCGAGUUGUAAUUUGCAGAGGAUGCUUUUGGUGCGGUGCCUUCCAAGUUCCCUAGAACGGGACGCCAGAGAGGGUGAGAGCCCCGUACAGUUGGACACCAAGCCUUUGUAAAGCUCCUUCGACGAGUCGAGUAGUUUGGGAAUGCUGCUCAAAAUGGGAGGUAUAUUUCUUCUAAAGCUAAAUACCGGCCAGAGACCGAUAGCGCACAAGUAGAGUGAUCGAAAGAUGAAAAGCACUUUGAAAAGAGGGUUAAACAGCACGUGAAAUUGUUAAAAGGGAAGCGCUUGUGACCAGACUUGCGUCCGGUGAAUCACCCAGCUCUCGCGGCUGGGGCACUUCGCCGGCUCAGGCCAGCAUCAGCUCGCUGUCGGGGACAAAAGCUUCAGGAACGUAGCUCUCUUCGGGGAGUGUUAUAGCCUGUUGCAUAAUACCCUUCGGCGGGCUGAGGUACGCGCUCCGCAAGGAUGCUGGCAUAAUGGUCAUCAGCGACCCGUCUUGAAACACGGACCAAGGAGUCAACCUUAUGUGCGAGUGUUCGGGUGUCAAACCCCUACGCGUAAUGAAAGUGAACGCAGGUGAGAGCUUCGGCGCAUCAUCGACCGAUCCUGAUGUUCUCGGAUGGAUUUGAGUAAGAGCAUAUAGGGUUGGACCCGAAAGAAGGUGAACUAUGCGUGUAUAGGGUGAAGCCAGAGGAAACUCUGGUGGAGGCUCGCAGCGGUUCUGACGUGCAAAUCGAUCGUCAAAUAUGCGCAUGGGGGCGAAAGACUAAUCGAACCUUCUAGUAGCUGGUUUCCGCC